GCUGGGAUGGCUCAGUUGGUAGAGCAUGAGACUCUUAAUCUCAAGGUUGUGGACUCAAGCCCCACGUGGGGCA